rnacentral:rRNA from 1 species
GACAGAGGGUGCAGACGUUGUUCGGAAUUACUGGGCGUAAAGCGAGUGUAGGCGGUCUGUAAAGUCGGGUGUGAAAGCCCCGGGCUCAACCCGGGAAGUGCACUCGAAACUCACAGGCUAGAGUAUCGGAGAGGUUGGUGGAAUUCUCGGUGUAGAGGUGAAAUUCGUAGAUAUCGAGAGGAACACCGGUGGCGAAGGCGGCCAACUGGACGAAUACUGACGCUGAGACUCGAAAGCGUGGGGAGCAAACAGG